rnacentral:rRNA from 1 species
AACGAACGCUGGCGGCGUGCCUAACACAUGCAAGUCGAGCGCGAAAAGGGCAACCUGAGUAGAGCGGCGCACGGGUGCGUAACACGUGGGUAAUCUGCCUUAGAGUCGAGGAUAACCUUCCGAAAGGUUAGCUAAUACUCGGUAAGCUUACGGUGUCUUCGGACGCUGUGGGAAACGUAGGCCUCUGUUUACAAGCUUACGCUCUGAGAUGAGCCCGCGGCCCAUCAGCUAGUUGGCGGUGUAACGGACCACCAAGGCAACGACGGGUAGCUGGUCGGAGAGGAGGAGCAGCCACACUGGACCUGAGACACGGUCCAGACACCUACGGGAGGCAGCAGUGGGAGAUUUUCCACAAUGGGCGAAAGCCUGAUGGAGAAAGGCCGCGUGUGUGAUGAAGGUUUUCGGAUCGUAAAGCACUUUCGACUGGGACGAAAAACCUUUGGCUAACAUCCAGGGGCCUGACGGUACCAGGAGAAGAAGCACCGGCUAACUCUGUGCCAGCAGCCGCGGUAA